GACGAACGCUGGCGGCGUGCUUAACACAUGCAAGUCGAACGAUGAAGUUCCUUCGGGAAUGGAUUAGUGGCGAACGGGUGAGGAACACGUGAGAAACCUGCCUUUCAUUUUGGGAUAACUCCGGGAAACCGGGGCUAAAACCGAAUACUCCGUCUCGGCGGCAUCGCUGAGCCGGGAAAAAAUUUUGUUGAAAGAUGGUCUCGCGGCCUAUCAGCUAGUUGGUGAGGUAAUGGCUCACCAAGGCAACGACGGGUAGCCGGCCUGAGAGGGCGACCGGCCACACUGGGACUGAGACACGGCCCAGACUCCUACGGGAGGCAGCAGUGGGGAAUAUUGGGCAAUGGGCGCAAGCCUGACUCAGCGACGCCGCGUGAGGGAUGAAGGCCUUCGGGUUGUAAACCUCUUUCAGUAGGGAAGAAGCGAAAGUGACGGUACCUAAAGAAGAAGCACCGGCUAACUAUGUGCCAGCCGCCGCAGUAA
rnacentral:rRNA from 1 species